rfam:Vitis vinifera, whole genome shotgun sequence of line PN40024, unoriented chromosome 9, chr9
AAUCAUGAUGGGGGCAUAAGUUGAUCAAAUCUUGAUACCUCUCCCAACAAUCAUAAAAUGACUCACUUUCAUUUUGUUUGAAAAUGGUGAUUUUUCUCAUCAAAGU